CACGUAGGGCGCAAGCGUUGUCCGGAAUUAUUGGGCGUAAAGAGCUCGUAGGCGGUCUGUCGCGUCGAAUGUGAAACCCGGGGCUCAACCCCGGGCCUGCAUUCGAUACGGGCAGACUAGAGUUCGGUAGGGGAGUCUGGAAUUCCUGGUGUAGCGGUGAAAUGCGCAGAUAUCGGGAGGAACACCAGUGGCGAAGGCGGCUUUCUGGACGAUAACUGACGCUGAGACGCGAAAGCGUGGGGAGCAAACAGG
rnacentral:rRNA from 1 species